ACGACCUUACUUGAACAGGAUCUGUUCUAUAGGCUCGUACCACUGUAUCCUUGAGUUCUAAUGAGACAGGAUAUCAAGUCUGGUUGAUGAAUAGUGGCAAUGAGACUAGAGCGUGAUUAACAGCCACCGUGCCCUUUGGGUCAUGGUGCUGUAGAUGAUCGUUCUCUGCCUGGUCCGCUGGGCUGGAGAUGGUCUCGUGGCUAUCUGACAGACU